ACCGAGACGCAGAGUCACAUCUUGACACAGCUCUUGUCCUGGUGUGCUAGAGUUCUCGGAGAGAAUUUGCUGGCCUUGAUUCACUGGCGAGGGCAAUGAGUGCCCCCGUUAGCGCCCAGGUCAGCAACAUCC
ensembl:snoRNA